GAUGAACGCUGGCGGCGUGCCUAAUACAUGCAAGUCGAGCGGACGGACGCGAAGCUUGCUUCUCUGAUGUUAGCGGCGGACGGGUGAGUAACACGUGGAUAACCUCCCUAUAAGACUGGGAUAACUUCGGGAAACCGGAGCUAAUACUGGAUAAUAUUUUGAACCGCAUGGUUCAAAAGUGAAAGACGGUCUUUGUGUCACUUAUAGAUGGAUCCGCGCUGCAUUAGCUUGUUGGUAAGGUAACGGCUUACCAAGGCAACGAUGCAUAGCCGACCUGAGAGGGUGAUCGGCCACACUGGAGCGGAGACACGGUCCAGACUCCUACGGGAGGCAGCAGUAGGGAAUCUUCCGCAAUGGGGGGAGGCCGGACGGUGCAGCGCCGCGGGGGUGAUGAUGGUCUUCGGAUCGUAAAACUCUGUUAUUGGGGAAGAACAUGUGUGUAAGUAACUGUGCACAUCUUGACGGUACCUAAUCAAAAAGCCACGGCUAACUACGUG
rnacentral:rRNA from 1 species